GCCUACGACCAUAUCACCCUGAAUACGCCCGAUCUCGUCCGAUCUCGGAAGCUAAGCAGGGUCGAGCCUGGUUAAUACUUGGAUGGGAGACCGCCUGGGAAUACCAGGUGUUGUAGGUU
rnacentral:rRNA from 1 species